GGGCCCGCACAAGCGGAGGAACAUGUGGUUUAAUUCGAUGAUACGCGAGGAACCUUACCCGGGCUCGAACGGUAGACGAACAUACAUGAAAGUGUAUGGCUGGUAACAGCGGAUGCCGAGGUGCUGCAUGGUUGUCGUCAGCUCGUGCCGUGAGGUGUCGGCUUAAGUGCCAUAACGAGCGCAACCCUUACCGUUAGUUGCCAUCAGGUAAUGCUGGGAACUCUGACGGGACUGCCACCGUAAGGUGUGAGGAAGGUGGGGAUGACGUCAAAUCAGCACGGCCCUUACGUCCGGGGCGACACACGUGUUACAAUGGGAGGGACAGAAGGAUGCUACCCGGCGACGGGAUGCCAAUCCAAAAACCCUCUCCCAGUUCGGAUCGGAGCCUGCAACCCGGCUCCGUGAAGCUGGAUUCGCUAGUAAUCGCGCAUCAGCCAUGGCG
rnacentral:rRNA from 1 species